AAGACUCUCAGCAGGUAAUUUCCCUCCAGGCUCCUCCUUGGAGUUUUCUAGAAAAAGACACUGUUUCUGUGCUGUGUGCAUUUUCUUAACGUCUUGACUCAGCAUCACCCAAGAGGAAGGGAAAGGAUCCAUGCUGGGAAGGCCCAAAGGUCAGCGGUGGAAGCCAGAAAGUCCAUGCCAGCAAGGUGAAGGAGCUGUGUUGGUAGGUUGAGGGUUCUAGGCUGGAGCCGAGAAGUCACACUCACAACAAAGACCAGAGUUGUCCUGAAAAGCACUUCAGCCAUCCUCAGCGACACAGAGGCCCUUAGCUCCUCCGACGAUAAGCACUGUCGAGUACAUGCCAGGAAGCCAGCAUGAUGAGUUUAUCCUGGAGACCGAGCAGCACACGUCUUCCCCUCUGGAGCCAGAAAGCAAUGCUCAAUGUGAGGACCAAAGCUUCGCCAGGAAAACCAACAGCUCAAACAGCAACUUGUAGGAGAACCCACAAUGCCUCAAGGCCCCAACGCACCUCCCUUCUCCUUAUCUCUAUUUAUGCUAGUAACUUUCCCCAGGUGAAACAUCUGCACUCAGCAGCCUGGUGAUUUAAUUCCACUGGCAUUAAGUUGAUCACCAGUUUUUAAUCCAUAACAGCCUGAUAAAGAAUUUGAAAGAACUAUUAUUUUUUUAAACCUCAGUAGGAUUCAUGAGAAUAUAGACAAAUAGUUAAGCAAAAUUAGGAAGACAAUACAGAUUAUGAAUGAACAAAAUCAGUAAAUAGACAUUUUGAAAAAAACAAAUAUAAAUCAUGAAAGAGCCAAUUAUAUAAUUGAUACAUCAAUCGUAUAAUUGAGACUUCAAUAAGAGACUAGACAAACAGAAGAAACUUGUGAAUUUAAAGAUAGAUCUUCUGAAAUAGACCCCAAAACAGUCAGACAAGAAAAGGAAGAAAGGGAGAGAGGAAGGUAUGGCAGAAAAAAGGAAUGAAGAAGGAAGGAAAAAGGAAGAAAGAAAGAAGAAGGAAAAAAGUAUUUAAGACCCAUGAGGAGAAAGACUGUGGCAUACAUAUGUUCAAUAAAGAAAUAGAAAAUUCCUAUAAUCUAGGGAAAGAUAUAGACAUCCACAUACAGGAGGCUUAUAGAACCUCAAAUAUAUAUUACUAGAAAUGAUCUUAACUACGGUAUGUUAUAGUAAAAUUAUCUAAAGAGAAGGCAAAUAAUUUUAAAAUCUUUAAGGGAAAAAUAUCAAAUCACAUUGAAGUACAGCUCUAUACAACUUAACAGCCAAAUUCUCAAGGGAAUUAUGAAAGAGAAUGUCAAUAAAGAUUAUUAUACUCAGAAAUAAUUAUUCAGGAAUAAGAAGAAACAAGGAUCUUGCAAGACAAGCAAAAACUGAGAGAAUUUAUGAACACCAAAUGUCUAACUUACUUUUCCCCAUUGCUGAGACAAAAUACCUGGCACCCAAAGUUAAAGGAGGAAAGAUUUAUUUGGCUCACAGUUUGUAGAGGCUUCGGUUCACAGUUGGCUGGCUCUGGCAGGGUGGCAUCACUGAGGGUCAUUAAGGAGAGAAAUAGUUCAUGGCAGGCAGAAAAUAGCAAAAGGAAGUAAGCAACAAACAACAAGUGAUAAUAACUGUUGUAUUCUAACAAGGCUACCCACUUUUGGGCAGGUACUAACCCAGUCAGUUUGCUAAUUUAGUAAUCACCCAUCCUUAAUCCCAGCACCAUAAAUUCUAGACUGAGCCACCUCUAAAAAGAGCCCUCUUGUGACUGCAUGAGGCUUUGGGGGAACAUCUAAACACAAUCCAUAACAUAAUAUAAUAUAACAUAACAUAACAUAUAAUAGAUUUAUAAAAGAUGCUUUGUGAGGCCCACAUCCAGAAGUCAAAGAAAAAUAGCUACCAUUAUUAAAACAUAGGAAACUAUAAAUCCUACUAAGAGAGUAGAUACAUAAAAGAUAAAUGAAAAAGAAUCAAACAAUAUUACAACAGUAGACAAUAAAACCACACAGAUGAACAAGAGAAAAAGAAUAGAACAAAGAUCAUUUGAUAUAAUUAGAAGAAAAUUGACAAAUGAUAGGAAUAAGACUUCAUUUAAUAUUAUCAUGAAUGUGAAUGGAAUGGAUUCCCCAAUUAUACAGAUUGGCUGAAUGGAUAAAACAACAUAAUGCUAAGAGAAAAUCAUUGUGCCAGUAAAAGUAUACAAAGAAUGAAAAUGAAAAGCUGGACAUGAUGUUCAAAAGAAAUGGAAACUGAAAGAGAGGAGUAGCUAUACUAAAAUUGAACAAAAUAGAUUUCAGGACAAAAAAAAUGAUAGACUAAAAGGUCACUGUAUAAUUAUCAAGGGAGUAAUUCAAUGCUAUAGUGAUUGUAAAUUUAUAAUCAUCAGAUAUAUGGGGUUCUUAGUUUUAUGAAAUUAACUGGAGCAGGAGACAUAGGCUACAAUGCAAUAAUAGUGGAGGAUAUCAACACCCCAAUUUAUCAAAAGAUAGAUUAUCCAGAUCCCCCAAAAAGGAAGCAUCAGAUUUAAACUAUAUAGAUCUAUAUAGAUCAAAUGGACUUAAUAGUCAUUUACAGAACAUUAAAUGCAACAGUUGUGGCAUAUACAUUGCUUUCAUCAGUGCAUCGAACUUUCUUUAGAAUAGACCUUUUAUUAAGCCACAAAACAAGGAUUCACAAUUUAAAAAAAAAACCCUCUGAGAUCAUAUUCUACUUUUUUCCUAUCACGGUGGAAAAAAUGGAGACAUCAACAACAAAAGAAAUUUAGAGAUUAUGCAAAUGGAUGGAGACUGAACAAUACCCACUUACACAGUUGAUCUUUCAGGAAAUCAGAAAGAAUAUUUUCAAAAAUUUUCUCAAAGCAAUUGCAAAUGGACACACAGCAUACAAAACUUGUGGGAUGCAACAAGAGCACUAAGAGGGAAUUUUAUCACAAUGAAGGUCUACAUUGACAAAUAAACAGGGGCUGGGGGUUUAGCUCAGCGGCAUAAGUGCCUGCCUUGAAAGCAGGCAGUCGUGAGUUCGAUCCCUGGUACCGAUAAAAACAAAAAAGACCAAAAAAAAAAAAAAAAAAAAAAAAAAAACCCAAAAAAAAAAAAAAAGACAAAUAAACAAAAUAAAUAAAUAAAUAAAAACAAAGAGAAACGAAGAAUGAUUUUAAAUAAAGAGCCAAACAAUGCAUCUCAAGGACUUAGAAAAACAAGAAGAAGCAAAACACAAAAUAGUGGGAUGGGGGUGUGUGGGAGAUAAUUUGAGUAACUCCCCUUGAAUGCAGAACAAUUGCUGCAACUUUGAUUAUAUUCAGACUUAUCCCCUUAUACUGAUAUAGACAGAGUGGACUAUGGUAUUUCCUUGUCUCUUCAAUUGGCUCUAAUUAUAAGGCUAGCAAGGUACUGGUAUGUAAUCUCUAAAGCCAUCACACAGUCUCCUGUUUCCUGGCAUAGUGCUCUCUCUAAAAUAUACAAGCACAGCAUGACGGUAGAGCCAGUCAGUUGCAGAAAUGUCACCUCAAGGGUGACAUUUAUCUUGGGUCACUUAUCUUGAGGGUAUGAGCCUCAAGAUAAAGAAGCUAUGACUCCCCGGGGCACAAAAGUUUAUAUAUCAGAAACUGAAGCAAUAGCCACCAAAAACAAUUCAGUUGCUACCUUAAUUCAAUUAUGCAAAUUGAUUAAACUGAUACAGAGGAUCAUUGAAGAUUACUAUGAAAGAAGAAAUUAAAAAUUUCUUUGAUUUUGACAUAUAUGACCCACCAAAACUGAACUAUGAAGGCAUAAAAACCUGAAUAGAGUAAUAAGUAAUGAGAUUAAAUCAAUAAUAAAAUGUCUUUUAACAAGCAAAAGCCCAGAAUUGUAUGGUUCUACUGCUAAAUUUUACCAAAGAACUAAUGCUAAUUCUCAAAUUAUUCUACAAAAUCAGAAGAGAUAUAACACUUCUCAACUCGUUCUAUAAAGCCAGAAGUAUUAACUAUUACCAAAACCAGACAAGGAUACAAGAAAGGAAAACUAUAGGCUAAUAUCCUUGAUGGAUAGAGAUUGAAUUAAAUAGCACAUAAAUAAAUGACUCAUCAUAACCGAGUUGGCUUUAUCCUGGGGAUGCAAAAAUGUCUCCACAUACACAAAUCAAUAAACAAUGUAUGAUAUCAACAGAAUAAGGGUAAAAUUCAUUUGAUUUGAUAAAUAUUAACAUUUCUUCAUGAUAAAAAGCCCUGAAAAGAGGUAUAGAAGAAAAAUACCUCAACACAGUUUUUAUAUAGCAAACUUACAUCCAGUAUCAUAUUAAAUAGGGAAUAACUGCAAAUUUUAUCAGGAGCAAGACAAGGAUACCCAGUCUCAUUGUUCCUACUUACUAUAGUGCUAGAAGUUUUAGUGGCAGAAAUUAGUCACAGCAAAGAAAUUAAAGGUAUACCAGAAGAAACAGACUAAGUCAAAUUAUCCCUGUCUGGAGAUGACAAAAUUUUCUAUAUAAAAAAACUAUGUAAAUAUUAUAAACUCCACCAAAAAACUACUAGAACUAAUAAACAAGUAAAUUGGCAGGAUACAAAAUCAACACACAAAAUUGCUAGUUUUUCUAUAUAUCAAUAAAAAUUUGAGGUCCAGAAGAACAUGGCGGAUAGAUAGCAGCAGCCUCUGAGGCUCUCUGAGAAACCGCACUUGAAAUCUAGGAAUGGUGCCAGACAGGAAGUCCCAGGCAAAGGGGGAUAUUCUUUGCUGACCCAGGAAUGAACUAAAUUAAGAGAAACCAUCUGGAAACACAAUCCUGGUGAUACAGCAAGCACAGAUAAGGUCUCAGCACAGAAGCCGGACCCGCACCACUGGAAACUGUGAUUUGAAUUAACUGCAGCCGCUGUUGCGUCCCGGUUGGCACAGUGGGGAGAGAGGCGCGAAAGCUCAGAGAGUGGGAAGCAUUGAAAGGAGUUGGGAGCAGGACUGGCCAGGUGCCCUGCAUCGACCUGCAGUGAGUGAGCAAAUUGGGACCCUUACAUAGAGAAGGAGGCUUCAGUGGAGGACAUACUUGGACUGGGCAGACUUCCUGGAAUGAGAAGCUGCAGUGACUUCAGUCACAUAUCCCUCUCUCAAGCGGGAUUGGUGAGGAGUGCCUGGCCUGCGAGACACCACUGGCUGAGACCCAAUAGGCUAGCCCAACUCAGGUCCCAGCACCUGAAGGUGCACCCUAGUGGUGGAGCCUUCAGUAGGUUGACCUGGAGAGGCGGGCCCAGCAGAGGCUCCCCAGGUCUGUGUCUCCCUAGUACACUGCAGUGGGCGGGAACACCUAGCCAGCACAAUUCAAACAGACUGUGGCUGACAGGGAAGGAAGCUGGGCCUCCUAUACAUGCUUAAAUAUAAGGAACAAAGAAUAUGGGAAGAGGGAACAACAAGAAAGGGUCCUCGGCCCCUAAUCCUGAGAAACACGCAAUAGCAGACACGGCACCAAUAGACGUAAAGCGCUAUCUCCAGAGCCUCAUAGACAAGUUCAGGAAUGAAGUUAUUAAUGACCUGAAGCAAGACAUAAGCAGAAUAGUUAGAGAAAUGUUAAGUACCUCCCAAGAAAAAAACAGAUGGUGGAAUGGAAGAGCAGAAAAAAAGGGGAGAAUUGUUUGAUGGAGAAGAUAGAGAAAACAUAGAAUACAUGAAGCAGGUUCAAGGAGAUUACCAGGAAACUAAAAACUCUAUCGAAAACUGGCAUAACAGCUUGAAAGAAACUAAGGACAGAUUAUCUGAACUGGAGGGCAGAUUUGUAAUAUGAGAGCAUGAAAUGAAAAACUUCUUAAAAAUAACAAAAAAACAAACAGCAACAAUACAAAAACUAGAAGAUGAUAAGAGGGUCUAUAACUUAAGAAUUAAGAACACAAGAGAAGUGGGGACACAAGCAAAUGAACUAUAAAAGCUAUUCACAGAAUUAAUCCAAGAGAAUUUCUCUAAUUUGGCAAACGGUAAAGAUACUCAGAUAUAUGAGGCAUACAGGACUCCAGCCACCUACAACCCAAACAGAGCUACACCCAGGCAUAUAAUAAUCAAAAUUCUAGAAAUCCAAUAUAAGAACAGAAUAUUAAAAGCCGUCAGAGACAAGAAACAGAUCACUUACAAGAAAACACCUAGCAGAAUUACAGCAGGCUUCUCGGCACAAACCAUCAAAUGAUGAAGAGCGUGGGGAGAAAUAAUUCAAGCUUUGAAAGAUAACCACCUCCAGCCAAGAUUGAUAUAUCCUGCACAACUGUCCCUAGAAAUUGAUGGAAAAACAACAUGCUUCCAGGAUAAAGAGGAACUAGGGGAAUUUGCAACACUAAUUCAACUCUACAGAGAAUACUGCAGGAUAGUCUAAAAAAAGAAAAUACCAAGAUUCCAGAAAUAGUGGCAGAGAGGCCACAAUGAAUGGAGCAGAAAGCAAAA